rnacentral:rRNA from 1 species
CCUACGGGUGGCAGCAGUGGGGAAUAUUGCACAAUGGGGGAAACCCUGAUGCAGCGACGCCGCGUGAGUGAAUAAGUAUUUCGGUACGUAAAGCUCUAUCAGCAGGGAAGAAAAUGACGGUACCUGACUCAGCAGCCCCGGCUAACUACGUGCCAGCAGCCGCGGUCAUACGUAGGGAGCAAGCGUUAUCCGGGUUUACUGGGUGUAAAGGGAGCGUAGACGGCAGUGCAAGUCUGGAGGGAAAGCCCAGGGCUUAACCAUGGAACUGCUUUGGAAACUGUGCAGCUAGAGUGCGGGAGAGGUAAGCGGAAUGCGUAGUGUAGCGGUGAAAUGCGUAGAUAUUAGGAGGAACACCAGUGGCGAAGGCAGCUUACUGGAC